rnacentral:lncRNA from 1 species
CAGUAUGUAGGUCAGCAUUUCUCAGUGGAGCAUAGUUCAAAACCACACAUUUGCCAAAGGUCAUGUAUCUUCCUCCUGAUGCCAAUUAAUGGAUUCUGUAUGUCUUCCGAGUCCUGGUCUUGCUCAGAAGCAUAUCACCAGCAGAACCUGUGAGAAUCUUCCUAGCAAGUAGGUUGGAAAAUGUAGAUGCCCAUCAAAGGAGAGCAUAAGAGAACAUAGCAAAACAAAGGAGGAGUUCCCGGUGGCCAAUAUAAUAUCUAAUACUACUGGUUUCACUCAAACACAUUGCUGUGUUUCUAUUUUUUCCACAGCGCAAAGUUUUCUCUUAUACCUGGGUCUGUGCAGUGUAAACAAAGGACACAUCGACUAUUAAAUUUAGAAUAUUUCUUUUAAAGAACAUGGACCAUAUCUUGCUUAGGAAACAUACUACACCUUACAAAAAUGAGGCAUUACCUCCCUGCUAAAUGUCACUGCUUCACAUACAUGACUGUCUAACAGAAAAGUACUGGGCAAUGGUUUGCAUGUUUUCUUUUUCCCAAGGUCUUGCUACUUCUAAAGGGCAGCCAAAUGGGCAAGGGGAAUCCUGGGUCCAGAAGAGAGAAUAGUUAGAAAGAUCUUUCCAGAGAAAGGAGUUAAAGUUCUCAUGCCUAUACUUGAAUAUCAGCUAAGUCUUCAUCAAUAUCCCAAUUUUAAACAGAGGGAUUUGACAACAGUAUGACAUACAAAUUCACGAAAUUGCAUAUCCAUCUAAGACACUCAAUUAAUAUAUUCAUAGGAAAAUUUAAAAAUAAGCAAAUGGAAAAUUGCAUAAUUCAAUGGUAAAAUCACCCAGACCAAGGAAAGAGUAUAGAAUAAUAACAAAUUUUAAGGUGAAAGAAAAAAUGACAUUAAAACAACAAAAGAACUUAUAAGGAGUUAUUAUUAUUAUUAUUUUAUAAUCACUGAAAAUUCAAAUCUAGGGGAAAAGAUCGCCUUCUUGAAAAACAAAAGUAAUUUCACAAAGUUUUUUUUAACUUCAUUAAUGUCUACAUUUCAUGAAUCCAUAUACCAGUAUAGGGAUAGUCACAAGUUCUAACCACACAUUUUAUUGUGUGAUGAAAUUAACUACAAAAAUAAUAAUUAUUAAGUGCGUGAAAACAUGAGCUUCCCACACAAACUUGUCAUAGACCUUAAACUAACAAAAAGACUGUAAGUAGGACACUGCAAAUAUAGCAAGAUUUGCUCAUUAAAGUCAUCUUUACUUUUGUUGUGGGAAUCCUGACAUAAUAGCAAAGAUGUUUCAGUUAUGAGGGCGUCUUUCUGCCUAAUAAACAAUAGAUCCUGAAGUUUAAAGGCAAAUUAAUGUAAAACAUGAGGCUACCUCCUACCUGUGGUUUGUCCCACCACAAAGAAGGGUUUAUAAAAGGCCCUGGAUAGAUGUUAAUACUCACACAGAGGAAACAGAUAAUCUGCUCCUCAAUUGAAGUUUCCAUUCCCUACAGCAUGUGCUAUUAUAGCAACCACUUUGGUAACCUGGUCUGUGGCUGUGGCUGUGGCUGUGGCAGGUACAAAUAUGGCUGCUGCUGCCCAUCUUGCUGGGGCAGGUCGUGGUCCUACGGCUUCAAUUGAAAAACUUCUAGAGUCACUCAGUCUAUAGAAAUCUUCCUCCUGUGCCUCCCAAAUAUCUUUCCAGAGUUCUUCUCAUAAGUAAUUUAUUUUUCUUUCCAAACAGUGAAAAUUUCAUCCUAGACAACUUCAGCUUCAGAUCAAAUACUAUAAGCUCAGCUUGCUUCAAUUUGAUUGACGGAAGUCACAAGUAAUAUCUCACAAUUCAUAAAAAAUGUUCAUUGGAUAUUGCAUUCCUUCUUCCUUCAUUUUAACUUAACAAUGUUGAUGUGAAAAAUUUAAGUUUAUGUUUCAGUAUACUUCCUCUUUCACUGAGAAAUGUUUUGCAUUUACAUUCAUUUGUCUCUGCGAUUUAUAUGUAUAUGUAAGGACACAGGGAAAAAAUCUUUAGAGAUAUACAGACACACAUCUAGACAGUCUGGGUAGUAAAAUAAUAAUGUGUAUAAAACGGCUUUGCUUGUCAGAUAAGAGUGAACACUCUGUUCAGUAGCCGUGUGAAAUGCAGAGCUCAGGCGUUUUCCACCCCUCACUCAAUUUUCUGAUCACUCUAAAGAGUAAGGAUGUGCAACUAUAGAGGUCCUUUCGUUUGGCAAAACCCCCUUCAGUUAAAAUACAUAGAUUAAUGAAUGAACUUACUUUUUAAUACCUUAUAAAAAUACUAAUAACUCACCAGUAGCCACAUGCAAAACAUAUCACCUAAAGCAUGCUCUGUACAUGUUCUGUAUCUAGGCUUAUUCACCUCUCAUUGUGUUCUUCACUUUUCCUCACCAACACAUCUUGUUUCCUCCGUCGGACUCCAUGCUGAACAACGACAACAAAAUAUAUGCAAAAUGUUGUAUUUAACCUUAAAGAAAAUCCUAAAACAGAACAUUUUCUAACGACUAGUAAGACUUUCUAUAAGUACAAAUUUUUCUCCAUUUUCAUAAAGCAGCUCUGUUCUCAACUGAAAAGUGAGGGAGAUUGAAAGUGGUCCCCUGUCUUAUGUAUGCCCUCUGCUAUUGUGAGAAAAUGUCCACAGGAAUCACAGGGCAACCACAAGACAGAAGUGACCACAGAGGAUGAGGCAAAAACUGAGAUGGCAAGAGAUAGAGAGAGAUAGAGAGAUGAUAGAUGAUAAAUAGAUAGAUAGAUAGAUAGAUAGAUAGAUAGAUAGAUAGAUAGAUAGAUAGAUAGAUAUAGAUAAUAGAGAGAAAUAUAGAUGUGGUGAAAUACAAUUGAGGAAUCUGCAUAAAGACACAGAAUUCCUUUUUACUGGUCUUAUACUUUUCUAUUUUAAAGACUUUGACAUAAAUUAUGACAAACAUUUUAAAAAAAAGACAAAUGCCUGAUCACCAAUUCUGUCCAAACUGCUCAUAUAAAAUGAUUUCAUGUGACUCUUAGACACUCUAAUCAUCUACAUUCGAUGUGUCUAAAUUCUUAUCCUCCUACAUUAAGGUUUUAAAUGAUGCAUUGCAUGCAAAAACAUCCCUAUUCUCAUCUAUUCAUACUGCUGUCAGUUUCUUGAUGCCACUGUGCUUCUGCGUGAUUGCAAUUUGUUCCUCCCACAUCACAUUCUUCUGAUUGCUUCUCUGAAGUUCAAGGGAAAAGAGCAGAACAUCUGCCAUUACUCCUGGUUGCUGACACAGUGGCUCUGCCUGACAAUCCUGUGCAAAAAUUCUUCCAGGAAAAAGCCAUGGUCACCAUCUAUUGCACAGCAACUUCAAAAAUCUGGAUCUUGGCUUCCCUUCUACACCACUGAUUGUUCUAUUUAUGGUUCCAAUUUUUCCUUUCAAGUCAAACAACCUAUUUAUUCACUGAUUCCAAUCUUCACUCCCUACUAACACAAGGAAUAAUGGGAAAAUGGAAUUUCAUUGGAAGAAAUAACAUUCAAGUAACAGAAACAAGAAAAAGUAGGAACUUCAAAAAAUCCCAUACCUAUUAAAGAAAAUAACCUGUAUUUCAUGUUAUCUAUCUAUUUACUUUAUGUUUUUUUGUCUGCACCCAUGGAAUAUGGAAGUUCCCAAGCCAGGGAUCAAAUCUGAGUUGCAGCUGUGACCUGAGAUGCUGAAGAGACAAUGUAGGUUUACCCACUGCACCACAGUGGGCACUCCUCAACCUGUACUUUAAAGCAAUUAAUCAGGGAAUUCCCAUUGUGGCUCAGCUGAAAGAAUCUGACUGGCAUCCAUGAGGAUACAGGUUCAAUCCCUGUCCUUGCUCAGUGGGUUAAGGUUCCAGCAUUGCCAUGACAUGUGGUGUAGGUUGCAGACACGUCUUGGAUCCUGUUUUGCUGUGGCUAUGGCAUAGGCUGGCAGCUACAGCUCCAGUUCGACUCCUAGCCUGGGAACCUCCAUAUGCCUUGGGUGCUGCCCUAAAAAGACAAAAGACGAAAAAAAAAAUCAUGCAAAGAAAAUUUCAGGCCCAAAUGGCUUCUCUGGUGAAUUAUUUAAACCACUUAAGAAUAAAAUAAACUGACAAUUAUAUUAAUACUCUUCCACAGAAUAGGAAAACGGCAACACUAACAAAAUCAAAACCUAACAAAGACACUACCAAAAAGCACUAUUUUUUGUGAAUGUGGUUAUAAAAAUCCAAAAUGAUAUUUUAUCAAAUCCAAAUCCCAUGAGCUAUAUUCUAAGAUUGCAAAAUCUUAGAUUGGUUUAAUAUCUUAAAAUUCAGUCAAUGUAGUUCACCACAUUAAUGGAAAUAGAAAGAAUGUCAUAUGAAUAUCUUAAUAGAUUCAAAUAAAAUAUAAAAUUUAGUAUGCAUUCAUGAAUUUUUGAAAAGCUCAGUAAACUAAAACCUAAAAAUAAUUUUCUCAAUUUGAUAAAUGUCAUCUACAUGAAAUCUACAGCUAAUAUAACAUACUUAAUGCUGACAUAUAAAAUAGUUUCAGCCUGAGUUUAGGAACAAGACGAAGAUAACCCACUAUCACAAUUUAAUAAAAGUUUGUGCCACUUUGAUCAAUUUUUCACUGGAGGUCUUAGCCACUCCAAUAUACGUAAAUAAAUAAGUGCGAAAAUGUAAUAAAGACUGGAAAGGAAAAUGUUGAUCUGCCACUAUUAAUAAAUGGCAUAAUUGUGUAUGUGAAAACGGGGGCUGAUUCAGAAGUAAGAUAAGGACAUGUCAGUGGAAAAAAAAAGAGAUUCUAUAAACAGACUCAAACUUAUAGGGUCACCAGAUUUAUUUUACUAAGAUACCACAGCAGCACAGAAAAUGAAAGGAUUGACUUCACAAUAAAUAAUGUUAGAUGAAUUUCAUAACAAUAUAAAAGAAGAUGAAUCUUUGUUCAUAACUUGCACCAAAAUAAGAUAUACGAGUCCCUUGCUUAAUUUGGAGUAGGUAAUAAUUUCUUAAACAGGAUACAAAGAGCGCUAGCUAUAGAAAAAUAUUAAGUUAGCACCAAAAUUAAAGAUUUCUAUUUUAAAAGUGAAAAACCUACUGACAGGGAUUAGAUAUUUAUAAUAAAUCUAUCUAAGGGAGGACAAAAAUUAAUAAAAAUAA